CUGGAUCUGCUUCUCCAGGCCCAGAGCAGCCUUGGCUCUGCGAAACCGGUUUGGAAGGCUAACCAGAAUGCUCGGGUACCUCCAGGCUGCAGGGUUCAUGUGUCAGAGACACAUGGUCAUCACUGGCUGACUCAGUGUUUUCAUCCCUCCAGGUAGGUUUUCCCUGCUUAGAACUCUCCCCCUAUGGGACAGCCACAGCUCCCUUGCUGUUCCCAUGACUCUCACUAGAAAAAACAUCCAUGUGUCAGGGGUCCCUACUCUGGGCCAGGCUUUGUCACACUUUCACCUCUGGGAUGCCCAAAGGAUGCGGGCACCACCCCAGAGGUAAGCAAACUAAAGUCAGAAUACUGACUUGACCACGGUGACAGAUCCUGUCCGUGGAAGAACCAGGAUGGGAGCCC
rnacentral:lncRNA from 1 species